GGGGAUGAUGUGGGGGUCAGGGUGAUGUGAGGGAUGGUGUAUAGGUUCAGGGUGUUGUGAGGGAUGGUGUGGGGGUCAGGAUGUUGUUGGGGAUGGUGUGGGGGUCAGGGUGUUGUGAGGGAUGGUGUAUAGGUUCAGGGUGUUGUGAGGGAUGGGAUGGGGGUCAGGGUGUUGUGAGGGUCAAGGUGAUGUGAGGGAUGGUGUGGGGGUCAGGGUGUUGUGAGGGUCAGGGUGAUGUGAGGGAUGGUGUGGGGGUCAGGGUGUUGUGAGGGAUGGUGUGGGGGUCAGGGUGUUGUGAGGGGUGGUGUGGGGGUCAGAGUUCUGUAAGGAAUGGUGUGUGGGGUCAGGGUGUUGUUAGGGAUGGUGUGAGGGUCAGGGUGUUGUGAAGGAUGGUGUGUAGGGUCAGGUGUUGUGAGAGAUGGUGUGUGGGGUCAGGGUGUAUUGAUGCGUGGUGUGGGGGUCAGAGUUCUGUAAGGAAUGGUGUGUGGGGUCAGGGUGGUGUGAGGGAUGGUGUGGGGGUCAGAGUGCUGUAAGGAAUGGUGUGUGGGGUCAGGGUGUUGUGAGGGAUGGUGUGUGGGGUCAGGUGUUGUGAGAGAUGGUGUGGUGGUCAGAGUGCUGUAAGGAAUGGUGUGUUGGGUCAGGGUGUUGUGAAUGAUGGUGUGUGGGGUCAGGUUGUUGGGAGGGAGGGUGUGUGGGGGUCAGGGUGAUGUGAGGUUCAGGGUGUUGUGAGGGAUGGUGUGAGGGUCAGGGUGUUGUGAGGUUCAGGGUGAUGUGAGGGUCAGGGUGUUGUGAGGGAUGGUGUUGGGGUCAGGGUGAUGUGAGGUUCAGGAUGUUGUGAGGGAUUGUGCGAGGGUCAGGGUGUUGUGAGGGUCAGGGUGUUGUGAGGGAUGGUGUGGGGGUCAGGGUGAUGUGAGGUUCAGGGUGUUGCGAGGGAUGGUGUGAGGGUCAGGGUGUUGUGAGGGUCAGGGUGUUGUGAGGUUCAGGGUGUUGUGAGGUCCAGGGUGUUGUGAGGGAUGGUAUGGGGGUCAGGGUAUUGUGAGGUUCAGGGUGUUGUGAGGGUCAGGGUGUUGUGGGGGUCAGGGUGUUGUGAGGGAUGGUGUGUGGGUCAGGCGGUUGGAAGGGAUAGUAUGGGGGUCAGGGUGUUGUAAGGGAUGGUGUGGGGGUCAGGGUGUUGUGAGGGAUGGUGUGAGGGGUCAGGGUGUUGUGAGGAGUCAGGGUGUUGUGAGGGAUGGGUUGAGGGGCAAGGUUGUGCAUUGUCUUCUCUAAUAUAGCGCUAUUUCUUUUCUUGUACAAUAAGGCAUUUAUUUAUAUUAUUGUUACCUUGAACAUGUAGUGCAAUUGAUAAUAAUGUACAAUAUAUUGUGUAUUGUAGUGUAUUACACUGCCAACUUUAAUGGAUGUAAUGCACUUUAUGGCAAAGGUAAUGCCAUCAUUAGUGUGUACAUGUUUUAUAUACUCAAAAGCUGGUGUUUUUUUGGAUAAAUUUUCACCAUUUCAUUUAACCGGAUUCCCGAUCGAUGCUGGGUAAACAGGCAUAUUUCAAGCUAUGUUUUUAACCUGUGUGUGCUUGCUGUGCUGCUGCUGUGGCGAGUGUUGCCAUCCUGGUGGAGACCAGAUUGUGGGGACAACAUCCCAAGACCCAGCACCAAAAGGAGCAGUUGACUGGAUAUUGAUGAGAGCUUGUCCAGUAUAUGGUAGAAGAGACUUGUGAUUUGAACCAAUGAUGUUAAAUGGGUUUGUGAUUAGAACCAGUGAUGUUUAAUGGGUGUGUGAUAAGAACCAAUGAUGUUAAAUGGGUUCGUGAUAAGAACCAAUGAUGUUUAAUUGGUUUGUAAUAAGAAUCAAUGAUGUCAAAUUGGUUUGUGAUAAGAACCAAUGAUGUUUAAUGGGUUUGUGAUAAGAAUCAAUGAUGUCAAAUUGGUUUGUGAUAAGAACCAAUGCUGUUUAAUGGGUGUGUGAUAAGAACCAAUGAUGUUUAAUGGGUGUGUGAUAAGAACCAAUGAUGUUUAAUGGGUUUGUGAUAAGAACCAAUGAUGUUAAAUUGUUUUGAGUAUUUUAUGGUGAAAUGGUGGUUAACUUUUGAACAUGUAUUGAAGGCAUCCGCAGCAUGCAUGUCAGUUUUAUGUCAACAGUAACUAACCAGAAUCAUGCUUUCAUGACAUGUUAUCGAUUCCUUUAGAAAUUAUAUAGAUUUCUGAUGAAACUCAGGCUACUUAAUGUGUUAACUCAAAUAAGAGUUUUCUCGACCACAAGCUGACAACAAAUGUUACAGAGACUUCAUGACUAUUGUGUCUUUCUACACACCAUUGACAUCGGUUUUGACGUAAACCAAAUGAAGUUGAGGGUGAAGGUCACUCAUUUAGAAAACAGUCAGCAAAUUACUGUGUGACUUUAUAUAUUUUUGAUUUAAUCUUUAUGAUAGGAAUUUGACCAAGUUUAAACAACAUCGACAUAUGUAUGUGUACAAGUUCACAAUAGAUCACAUCAAGCAACAAGCCAAAAAACUUCAGGAAGAUUUGCUUGAAUGAAAAAAACAAAGCAUGUGAUUCCUCCCAUACCUUCAAACUGGAAAUGUAGAUAACUUUAUUAUUAAGUUACAGAGCUAGUGGUUUGUUUGCAGAAUUAAGUAUGGUCUUAGUCCCUGCUACUGCUUUAACAUGAAAUAUGAAAUAAUCUAUUUUAACCAUCAUUACUAACAGUGCACUGGGAGUAAUGGGACUGUUUUUUUUUGUCUUAUAAUGCAAAUACCUUUCAACAAAUUACAAGUCAAAAUACUCUAAAAUAUGGCAAGUACUAUUUUGACAGUAUAAACAUGACACCAGGCUGACAUGGUAAACAUUUACUUGACCCUCUUCUGGCAGGUUUAAGACAAGUAGUUACCAUGGCUGCAGACAUGAUGCAGCAGCAGCAGCAGUAUGCUUGGGGCAGUCAGUGUUGCAGGGCACUGGCAGGCUGCUUCCCACUUACAGAUACAUACCAGAUUUACAGAAUAUAAGCAAUAUAGUUUUAUGAAA